rnacentral:rRNA from 1 species
UACGAAGGGGGCUAGCGUUGCUCGGAAUUACUGGGCGUAAAGCGCACGUAGGCGGUCUUUUAAGUCAGUGGUGAAAGCCCGGAGCUCAACUCCGGAACUGCCAUUGAAACUGUUUAGCUUGAGGAUGAGAGAGGUGAGUGGAAUUCCCAGUGUAGAGGUGAAAUUCGUAGAUAUUGGGAAGAACACCGGUGGCGAAGGCGGCUCACUGGCUCAUUACUGACGCUCAGGCGCGAUAGCGUGGGGAUCAAACAGG